GUUUUCGGAAAUGUGUAGAUGAGCAACUAAAACAGCAAGUCAAGACUUUAGUUGAUGUCACAAAGAUACCCAAGUGUUUAAAGCGACACACACGCACCCGGCCAUCCAUGUGAUGUAAAAGAAAAUGUGAUUCAUCAGACCAGGCCACCUUCUUCCAUUGCUCCGUGGUCCAGUUCUGAUGCUCACAUGCCCACUGUUGGUGCUUUCGGCGGUGGACAGUGUAUUCUGCACAAUGCACUGUGUAUUCUGACACCUUUCUAUCAGAACCAGCAUUAACUUUUUGAGCAAUUUGAGCUACAGUAGCUCGUCUGUUGGAUCGGACCACACAGGCCAGCCUACGCCCCCCAAUGAGCCUUUGGCCGCUCAUGACCCUGUCGCCGGUUCACCACUGCUCCUUCCUUGGACCAAUUUUGAUAGAUACUGACCACCGCAGACUGGGAACACCCCACAAGAGCUACAGUUUUGGACAUGCUCUGACCCAGCAUGUGUUUGAGAAGGGCCCUGAUUCAGAAUGACACACAGGGAUGCCAGAAGACGAGUAUAUUUACGUUGACCAUAGACACGAAAGGAAUUCAUCUCAAACAUGAAACUGACCUUUGCUGGAAAGCAACCCUAAAUGCACUCACUGUGAAUAUUCAAAUUGAAACCCAGUGGAGUGGGAUUAUUCAGAAACUCGAGGAAUUACAUCCCUGUGGCAGUCUGUGUUUCGUCAGUGUUAUGUAAUUUAUGCAUUGCAUAUGCUGCCGGAAAAAUAUGCACCUUUCCAUUAAAACAGACCUUUUCAGACUGACAAAGUUAGCUAAAUUUGUUGUCUGUAGUCAUUAUAACUAACAUUAUAUAAAAAACAGUCUAUAAUAAAUGUCAUCAUUCAGAAAGCUUGGUAAACAUAUGAUACCCCUUUUCUUCUUCCCUGCAUGAGAGCUGUAUAGGCAUUUUUCAUGGUCAG